rnacentral:rRNA from 1 species
CGCUGAGGCUUGAAAGCGCGGGGAGCAAAUGGGAUUAGAUACCCCAGUAGUCCACGCCGUAAACGAUGAGCAUUGGGCAUUUGACAUCUGGUCGAGUGCUGUAGCUAACGCGUUAAAUGCUCCGCCUGGGUAGUAUAUAUGCAAAUAUGAAACUCAAAGAAAUUGACGGGGACCUGAACAAGUGGUGGAGCAUGUUGCUUAAUUCGAUAAUACACGAAAAACCUUACCAAGGCUUGUAAUCUAUUGCGAAGCUAUAGAAAUAUAGUGGAGGUUAUCAGUAAGACAGGUGAUGCAUGGCUGUCGUCAGCUCGUGUCUUGAGAUGUUUGGUUAAGUCCCGUAACGAGCGCAACCCUACUCUCUAGUUACUUAGUUCUAGAGUGACUGAAUCGUAAGAUAUAGGAAGGAUGGGGCCAAGUCAAGUCAUCAUGCCCCUUAUGCCUUGGGCUGCAAACGUGCUACAAUGGUAGGUACAAUGUGUUGCAAACUAGCGAUAGUGAGCCAAUCACCUAAAGCCUAUCUCAGUCCGGAUAAAAGGCUGCAAUUCGCCUAUUUGAAGUUGGAAUCACUAGUAAUCCUGUGUCAGCUAUAUUC